rnacentral:rRNA from 1 species
AGUGAACGCUGGCGGUAGGCCCAACACAUGCAAGUCGAACGGCAGCACAGUAAGAGCUUGCUCUUACGGGUGGCGAGUGGCGGACGGGUGAGGAAUACAUCGGAAUCUACUUUUUCGUGGGGGAUAACGUAGGGAAACUUACGCUAAUACCGCAUACGACCUACGGGCGAAAGCAGGGGAUCUUCGGACCUUGCGCGAUUGAAUGAGCCGAUGUCGGAUUAGCUAGUUGGCGGGGUAAAGGCCCACCAAGGCGACGAUCCGUAGCUGGUCUGAGAGGAUGAUCAGCCACACUGGAACUGAGACACGGUCCAGACUCCUACGGGAGGCAGCAGUGGGGAAUAUUGGACAAAGGGCGCAAGCCUGAUCCAGCCAUACCGCGUGGGUGAAGAAGGCCUUCGGGUUGUAAAGCCCUUUUGUUGGGAAAGAAAAGCAGCAGGUUAAUACCCCGCUGUUCUGACGGUACCCAAAGAAUAAGCACCGGCUAACUUCGUG